rnacentral:rRNA from 1 species
UACGAAGGUCCCAAGCGUUGUUCGGAAUCACUGGGCGUAAAGCGUGUGUAGGCGGCAGAGUAAGUCAGAUGUGAAAUCCCGGGGCUCAACCUCGGAACUGCAUCCGAUACUGCUUUGCUAGAGUAGCGGAGGGGCAUAUGGAAUUCACGGUGUAGCAGUGAAAUGCGUAGAUAUCGUGAGGAACACUAGUGGCGAAGGCGAUAUGCUGGACGCUUACUGACGCUCAAACACGAAGGCUAGGGUAGCGAAAGGG